rnacentral:rRNA from 1 species
GGGCCCGCACAAGCGGUGGAGUAUGUGGUUUAAUUCGAUGCAACGCGAAGAACCUUACCAGGGUUUGACAUCCUGCGAAUCUCUUGGAAACUUGAGAGUGCCUUCGGGAACGCAGUGACAGGUGGUGCAUGGCUGUCGUCAGCUCGUGUCGUGAGAUGUUGGGUUAAGUCCCGCAACGAGCGCAACCCACGUCUUUAGUUGCUACCAUUUAGUUGGGCACUUUAAGGAAACUGCCGGUGAUAAGCCGGAGGAAGGUGGGGAUGACGUCAAGUCAUCAUGCCCCUUACAUCCUGGGCUACACACGUACUACAAUGCUACGGACAAAGGGCAGCAAACUCGCGAGAGCUAGCAAA